GCUGAGGUAGCCAAGGUGGUCAAGGCGCAUGUUUGAAGAACAUGACAUACAGGUCCGACUCCUGUCCUCAGCACCA
rnacentral:tRNA from 1 species